CGGCAAUGGGCGAAAGCCUGACCGAGCGACGCCGCGUGCGGGAUGAAGGCCUUCGGGUUGUAAACCGCUGUCAGAGGGGAUGAAAUGCUGGGGGGCACUCCCCCAGUUUGACAAAUCCUCAGAGGAAGUACGGGCUAAGUUCGUGCCAGCAGCCGCGGUAACACGAACCGUACGAACGUUAUUCGGAAUUACUGGGCUUAAAGGGUGCGUAGGCGGUCCUCCAAGUUGGGUGUGAAAGCCCUCGGGCUCAACCGAGGAACUGCGCCCAAAACUGUUGGGCUAGAGGGAGACAGAGGUGAGCGGAACUUAGGGUGGAGCGGUGAAAUGCGUUGAUAUCCUAAGGAACACCUGUGGCGAAAAGCGGCUCACUGGGUCUCUUCUGACGCUGAGGCACGAAAGCUGGGGGAGCGAACGGGAUUAGAUACCCCUGUAGU
rnacentral:rRNA from 1 species